AACGCACCUUGCGCUCCUUGGUAUUCCGAGGAGCAUGCCUGUUUGAGUGUCAUUAAUUUCUCAACCUUUCAUUAGCUUUUGCUGAUGAAUGGCUUGGAUGUGGGGGUUUGCUGGCUUCGGUCGGCUCCCCUUAAAUGCAUUAGCUGGUGUACCCCAUGGUGGACUUUUGGUGUGAUAAUUAUCUACGCCAUUUAUUGUCUGCGACGGUGGUCUUUCACUGCUUCUAACCGUCCGUUCAUUCAGACAAUUGAAAUGACAAUUUGACCUCAAAUCAGGUAGGACUACCCGCUGAACUUAA
rnacentral:misc_RNA from 1 species